CUCAGCGUUGGUGUUUUCAGACAGCGGAGGCCAUCUUGGUUAUGCGAGCCACUAAGAAGAGACUGUAGUACCAUUUCAGUCUCCGGGCUGCGACUCCCUCGGGAGUCUUAAGCAGGAUCUGGCCCAAUCUUUUAAAAUGUUGACUCUAUGUGAAGGCUGGAUGAACCAGGACUGAUGGCACACCUAUACCCGGCAGGAAGAGCCAGUCCUUAGAUAUUGCACAGGUUGCGCAAACAACCAGACCCUGCAGAUCAAAGAAUCUGGGAAUAUUUCAUACUUUAGCUCAUCACACAGUCCUGUAGAGCCAACAAUAGUGUUGUGCAUGUUAGCCAAAGCUUCAUCUUUGAGACAAUUUUGAGCCCUCCAGCUUUUGGGAGCUUUUAAGGAGCAUCUUGAGCAACAAUGGCACAAAAGAAAGAUCCAGUCUGCCAUGCUUUUUGAGCACUCGUGGUGAGUGGAUUGAUUUUGGAAAGAGAUGGUCUGUCAUCCAUGGGCCUCAGGUCGAUUGUCAGAGCCUCAUGGUUUCUUCUGGAUCAACCCGCUAUUGCUGAUUUGUGAAUGGUGCUUGCAAGUGGAUUGAGAGGCCACUGCUGGUUCAUGAAAACUGAACUGCUGAUCUCCUGACAAUGCAGACUAUGCUUACUCCAAAGAACUAUUUCUAAACAGAUCUACUUGACAUGUGAACUGGAUCAUACUUCUGUGUAACCUGGUAAAGAAUACAGAGUAAGAGAAAUGUUAUUCCAAAGAGGAGGAGAGUAAGUGUAUCAGAAAAGUACGUCCUGGGAAGCCUGAAAAGUACAAAAAAGGGUGUGGCGUGGCCUCUGGGUUGUCCAGCCUCUGGUUCCUAGAAAUCUAGGUAGUGUCAGUCAUGGACUCCAUCUCAUAACAUGGACCUCAAAUUUGACCAGUGAUUGGUUGUCCACUAUCACAAGUUCUGCUCCAUCAUUAUGCCAGCACAUCUUAGAGCCCUUGAGACAUUCCAGAGGAACAUCCUAUUCUGCACAUCGCCUACAGGCUGGUUCCAGACACCAAGAAUGGACUGGCGGGGGAUGGGCCUUCCUUUUAUAAGUAGACUCUCUUAGUAAACUGGCAGGCCUUGAACAGAAUCAUGUCUUGGUCUCCAUUAAUCUCUCGAUGGCUAAAUCUAUUUCAGCCACAGCCUGCCUCCCUGGUGUA
rnacentral:lncRNA from 1 species